GGAAUGCAAAACAAUCCAAUAGCUAACCUAAAAACAAAAAUCGAGACUUUAAGAAAUGAAAGAGAUGAAUUUGAGGAUAAAUUUAUAAAAAUCCAAAAGGAUUAUCAAUCCUUGCAAACUGAACUAGAGAGUAAAGAAAACGAGCUACAAUCUCUAAACCGACAUUUGAAGCUGCAGGACGAUAAUAACGAAGCCACAGAUUCCAACUUGAAAGAAAAGACGCAGCAACUUAAUCAUUACAUUGAAAAAUUCGACGAAAGUGACCGAAUCCGCAAAGUCCUCGAAACCAAGUCCAACAACGACGAAGAGCGAAUUUACCUACUGGAAAAACAAUUGGCCGAUAUAAAAUGGACAGCAGACGACAGC